AAUUCACAGGCCCUAUCUUGUG
rnacentral:miRNA from 1 species